AUUGGGGAUGUGUGUGUGCAACAGUGUUAUUGGGGAUGUGUGUGUGCAACAGUGUUCGCCCACCAUUGCACACACACACACACACACACACACACACACACACACCUCCUUCUCUGGCCAGCAUCCAGUCUAAGACCAUUCUAUUCUGCGUUGCCAUCUUUGAUGUGUGGCAUCCACCUGUUCUCCCAAGGAGGCUAUGUGGAGGAGUGUGUGUGGACAGGGCGUCUGUGGUGUAGUUAAUAAACCGUUGUUGAUUGUAGUAGAUGUAAUGAAUCCACUCCCAUGCUUUGGCGAUGCCCAGGUUGUUAUGAGAGCUUCAAGAAUCCCUCCGUAUAUUUCGCUGCGUGCUUUAUACUCAUGGGGAAAAUACCUCGGGGUUGUCCUAUGCCGUUUUAAGUACACUCUGGGGUCCUUCUCAUAACCACCUACCCCCCCUUUUCCCCCCGUCUAACUCCAGUGUCAACCUUGCAGCUGUUAUUUUCAUAUACUACAAAAGUCUCUUGCAUCGCCAUGACUCGUGCACAUCCCCCGGUCCAGUCUUCUGGAAGGGUGUGGCGUACGUCCCAGUCAGGACCACAGGCCCACCACAUGUCUGCUGGGGGAACAUAUUUGACCUUUGACCCAGCGUCGCAUAGGUAUUAGUAGUCUGAGCUGAACAUCUUUGACCUUUGACCCAGCGUCGCAUAGGUAUUAGUAGUCUGAGCUGAACAUCUUUGACCUUUGACCCAGCGUCGCAUAGGUAUUAGUAGUCUGGUUGCCCACAUUGACAUUUAGUCAUUUAGCAGACGCCUUUAUCCAAAGCGACUUACAAGGAUGUAUACACAUUUUUACAUUUACACUGAUGGCACACUGCACAUCAGGAGCAAUUAGGGGUUCAGUGUCUUGCUCAAGGACGCUUCGACAGGGAAUCGAACUAGCAACCUUCUGCUUCCUAAACGACUUCUUUACCUCCUGUACCACUGUCGCCCAUUUAUACCAUGUAUUACCCUGGGCCUGUCUCCCCAGCUAGAAGGGUCCCUCUCCUGUUGGUAAAGAUGGAGAAGGCACGAAAGAAAAGAGAAACGCUACGAACAGCAUCAUACCCACCAGCGGCAGGAGCUUCUGGAGCCCCAGGUCUUUCCGGUUCUGCUUCCCGCUCCUGCUCUAGAUCGUUCCCUUCGGGAACACCCUCAUUUUUGGCAUGCAGCUCAUGCCCUGGCCUGGCUGCCGUCUCUCCUUCUUCCAGUGGCUCUGUGGCUCUGAAGGGGUAUUAAAGGGGGUACCACACCUCUGGUCCCUGCACUCUUACCGCCGUUUGAGUGGCUUCUGUCACCCUGUAUGAUCCCUCGGACCUUGGCUGAAGGCAAGACCUUUUGAACACCUUCAGGUACCCCCAGUCUCCUGGUUGUACUGGCCUUCUGAUUCCUGCCUCCAGGGCCGGUGGUGGUUCCUGCUGCUUCGCCUUCGUGUGUAAAUAACUUUUGUGAAUCAGAGUUGAUUGUUGCACAGAAUGGCAAAGUUCUUUUUUGGAACUGCUCCAGAGGGGGUCCCCUGCUUGGCUCCCUGAUCCGUGGGACUGGCAUUGGUCGCCCUGUAAGAAUCUUGUGAGGGGUGAGGUGUGUGCUGCGGUUUUGCUGCGAGCGCAUUUGCAUUAGAGCAAUGGGCAAAGCAUCCAGCCAGUUGAGGUAAGAGCCGGCACAGAUUUUAGCCAUUUUCAGCAUGGCAUUUGCUCUCUCCGCCAUCCCCUGACUUCGGGCAUCUUUCGCACUUACACAUGUGUAAGUUGCUCCGGUAUCUACCAUUAGUGAAAUUUCUCCGCCCCCAAUUUGAACCUGCAGCGUAGGUUCCUUUGCAGCUCCCCUUGAUAAAUUCGGAAACUGACCCUCCUCGUUAAGAUUCUCUCGCCCCCAUCAAUAGUAAUCGCCCCCCUAAGGGUCCGUUGGGUCCACCCUGCAUCGCAGAGCCGUCUCCCUUUACGGCGGGCAGCCAUUUUGUUGUAAGGCAACCAUUUUGUCACAGAAUCUAACUUGUUUUCAGAUGUCCAUGUCCCAGCGUCAGUAGUUUAAAACACAAUAAUCUCUCCACUUAAAUGGCAACAUCUGGAAAGUGACAACACCCAUACAUCUAAAACUGCUGAAAACAUCAGGAACAUUUAGCAUUUUUAGCUAAAAACAAUAUAAUUCAAUGCAACAUUCACAAAUACAUAUAUA
ensembl:lncRNA